UUCCAAGGGGAGCCCCUUCGGGGCUGAGAUACCGCGCAAUGAGCGCGCGGGGACCCUUUGAACCUGAUCCGGGUCACGCCGGCGUAGGGAUGGGA
rnacentral:ncRNA from 1 species